rnacentral:rRNA from 1 species
GCCAGACUCCUACGGGAGGCAGCAGUGGGGAAUAUUGGACAAUGGGGGGAACCCUGAUCCAGCGACGCCGCGUGAGUGAAGAAGUAUUUCGGUAUGUAAAGCUCUCUCAGCAGGGAAGAAAAUGACAGUACCUGACCAAGAAGCCCCGGCUAACUACGUGCCAGCAGCCGCGGUAAUACGUAGGGGGCAAGCGUUAUCCGGAUUCACUGGGCGUAAAGGGAGCGCAGGCGGCACGGCAAGUCUGAUGUGAAAACCCGGGGCUCAACCCCGGGACUGCAUUGGAAACUGCCGGGCUGGAGUGUCGGAGGGGUAAGCGGAAUUCCUGGUGUAGCGGUGAAAUGCGUAGAUAUCAGGAGGAACACCGGUGGCGAAGGCGGCCUGCUGGACUGCAACUGACGUUGAGGCCCGAAGGCGUGGGGAGCAAACAGGAUUAGAUACCCGUGUACC